CCUACGGGGGGCUGCAGUAAGGAAUAUUGGUCAAUGGACGAAAGUCUGAACCAGCCAUCCCGCGUGCAGGAUGAAAGCCCUAUGGGUUGUAAACUGCUUUUAGCAGAGAAGAAAAGCUUUCAUUAAUGAGAGUCUGACGGUAUCUGCAGAAUAAGCACCGGCUAACUCCGUGCCAGCAGCCGCGGUAAUACGGAGGGUGCGGGAAUUAUCCGGUAUAACGGGUGUUAAAGGGUGCGAAGAAGUCAGUGGAGAAAUCGUGUCGCUUAACGAGAAAAUUGCCAAUGAUACUGGUACUCUUGAAUUGGGUUGAGGUUAGCGGAAUGUGACAUGUAGCGGUGAAAUGCAUAGAUAUGUCAUGGAACACCAAUUGCGAAGGCAGCUAACUGGGCCUUGAUUGACGCUGAGGCACGAAAGCGUGGGUAGCGAACAGGAUUAGAUACCCCGGUAGUC
rnacentral:rRNA from 1 species